CUUGGUCAUUUAGAGGAAGUAAAAGUCGUAACAAGGUUUUCGUAGGUGAACCUGCGGAAGGAUCAUUAGUGAAUUACAAUAGAGUGCGCGCAAGCGGCUCGUAAACACUAUUCAAACACUGUGAACUUGUCUUUUUAAUUUUCAAUGUGGGAAAGCAGGCUUAACUGACUGCGGAACCCUUUGAAUUUUAUUAAACCCUAGUCUUUAAAACUAGUCUUGUGGAAUGUAGUUGAAAUUGAUUAAACGAAAGUAUAACUUUCAGCAACGGAUUUCUUGGCUCUCGCAUCGAUGAAGAACGCAGCGAAAUGCGAUACGUAAUGUGAAUUGCAGAACUCAGUGAAUCAUCGAAUCUUUGAACGCACCUUGCGCCUUCUAGUUAUUCUGGAAAGCAUGCUUGUUUGAGUGUCGCGAACUUCUCAACCCCGCCUUUUGUAAUGAGAGGUAGCCUGGGCUUGAAUCAUGGUCUUUUGCCGUUUAUUCGGCUAGACUGAAAUGCAGUAAGCUGCAUGCACGAUUGUAACGGCUUGACCUGAUGUUGUAGUAUCUAUAAACUCAUCGGGGAUCGUUAUUGACAGUUGCAAAGAGCUUUAAACUUUGAAUUUUAAUAGUACAUAAUGACCUCAAAUCAAGUAGGACUACCCGCUGAACUUAAGCAUAUCAAUAAGCGGAGGAAAAGAAACUAACAAGGAUUCCCCUAGUAACGGCGAGUGAAGUGGGAAAAGCUCAACUUUGUAAUCUGGCUGUUUUACAGUCCGAGUUGUAGUCUAGAGAAGCGUUAUCCGUGCCAGCCCUUAUACAUGUUUGUUGGAAUACAACGUCAAAGAGGGUGAGAAUCCCGUAUUUGAUAAGGCGCUUGUGUACAUUGUGAUACGUUUUCAAAGAGUCGAGUUGUUUGGGAAU
rnacentral:sRNA from 1 species